AACGAACGCUGGCGGCAUGCCUAACACAUGCAAGUCGAACGAGACCUUCGGGUCUAGUGGCGCACGGGUGCGUAACGCGUGGGAACCUGCCCUUAGGUUCGGAAUAACUCCCCGAAAGGGGUGCUAAUACCGGAUAAUGUCUUCGGACCAAAGAUUUAUCGCCUUUGGAUGGGCCCGCGUUGGAUUAGCUAGUUGGUAGGGUAAAAGCCUACCAAGGCGACGAUCCAUAGCUGGUCUGAGAGGAUGAUCAGCCACACUGGGACUGAGACACGGCCCAGACUCCUACGGGAGGCAGCAGUGGGGAAUAUUGGACAAUCGGCGAAAGCCUGAUCCAGCAAUGCCGCGUGAGUGAUGAAGGCCUUAGGGUUGUAAAGCUCCUUUACCCGGGAUGAUAAUGACAGUACCGGGAGAAUAAGCUCCGGCUAACUCCGUG
rnacentral:rRNA from 1 species